rnacentral:rRNA from 1 species
ACAUCCCCUUGACCAGUGCAGAGAUGUACUCUCUCCUUCGGGAGCAAGGGUGACAGGUGGUGCAUGGUUGUCGUCAGCUCGUGUCGUGAGAUGUUGGGUUAAGUCCCGCAACGAGCGCAACCCUUAUCAUUAGUUGCCAGCAGGUUAAGCUGGGCACUCUAAUGAGACUGCCGAUGAUAAAUCGGAGGAAGGUGGGGAUGACGUCAAAUCAUCAUGCCCCUUAUGUCUUGGGCUACACACGUGCUACAAUGGUCGGUACAACGGGCAGCGAAAGAGUGAUCUGGAGCAAAUCCCAAUAAACCGAUCUCAGUUCGGAUUGUAGGCUGCAACUCGCCUACAUGAAGUCGGAGUUGCUAGUAAUCGCGAAUCAGAACGUCGCGGUGAAUGCGUUCCCGGGUCUUGUACACACCGCCCGUCACACCAUGGAAGUUGGUAAUACCCAAAGUCGCUGGGCUAACCGUAAGGGGGCAGGCGCCUAAGGUAGGAUCAAUG